GUCGUCCCAAAGUUGGGAAUGAACCCAUUUAAUGCAGUGUUAGCGAGCAGGCAUUCUUUAUUUAUGAUGUCGGAUGCGUGAGGGGAUACCUCCACCCCAACCAUGCAUCCCUGGAACAAAAGACCUUCAGCUUAUAUACAUUACAUUACAUCAUAGAAUGGCUUGGGUUGGAAGGGGACCCCAGGGAUCAUCAGUUUCCAACCCCCUGCCACAGGCAGGGCCACCAACCUCCGUAUCUAAUACUACACCGGGCUGCCCGGGGCUCCACCCAACCUGGCCUUGAACACCUCCAGGGAUGGGGCAUCUCCAGCCUCUCCGGGCAGCUGUGCCAGCACCCUCAUGGCUCUGUGAAGAACCUCUCCCUGCCACCACCGUGCUGGGAAGGACCCCGGAUAGGACGAGGGGAAGUGCUCCCAGGCACAACUGUGGGGGAUGCAGGAUCCCCGCCAGGGAUGCUUCACAGGAACCCCAAAGGUGCAGCCCCACGGCGCAGGGGGAGCCCCAUCCCCAACACCUGCAGCUCUGUGGACAGACCUCCGUGGACAGACGACAGCAGGCAGGCUCAGCUCCUCGGGCUUUACUGGCUGCACUGUGCUGGGGGAGAUGCUGCAGGGGAGGGGGGGACAUCAUCCCUUGGGUACAGACCAUGGUGACGAGCUGCGUGUCCCCGGGUGUUGUCGGAUGUGGGGAGACGGGGAGGAGGAAUGGAAGGAGUGGGGAGCAGGAUGGAGAAGGAAGGUGAAAAGCAGAGGAGCUGAGCAGAGCUGGCUGCUCCCAGAGCUGUUCCCGAUGCCACGGCACGGCUCCUGCCUCCACUGCUAUCACACCAAAGUGCAUCAGCCCCCGCCGUGACGGCAUCCAUCCCACGGCCCCACAUCGGUGGACGAUGGUGGCCCACACAUCGUCCCAACGCCCACACAUCCCACGCCGGGGGCCGCAGCCUCCGUCUCGUCCUUCUCACGGCCAGAAACUCUUCCUCCAGCCGCCCCAGCAGCUGCUGUUCCUGCCCGGGCUCCAGGCACAGCGGCGCCCGCAGCCUCCGCGCCAGCUCUUCCAGCUCCUCCUGGAAGGCGUCCCCGUCCCCGUCCUCGGCCCCGUCCCCGGGCAGAGAGGAGCGCCGAGGGCCG
ensembl:lncRNA